CUGUUAUGGCAGUGCAAAUCUGCUUGUUUACUCUAUGCACAAAUAAAAUAAAGAAUUAUUAAAAAUAAAAAAAUAAAAUAUACACCCUUUGGAAUAGUUCAAAUUUGGUAUCUCAAAAAGGACAUGUUCUACCUUAAUUUUUUCCAAGAAAUUGUCUAUUUUACAGGAGGAAAAGGACUGCCAGAAGUUUUCCAUUUGUGAAAUGUUUGGCCAGUGUCCAAUAUUUCAGUUCUAUUCUGUUUAUGAUGAUUGGCUACUUAGGUUUCCACUCAACUGGAAUCUACAAUGAACAAAAUUAUAAAAACGCAACACUUGUUUUUGCCCUCAUUUUCCACGAGCUGAACUCAAAGAUCUAAGACUUUUUCUAUGUACACAAAAGGCCCAUUUCUCUCAAAUAGUGUUCACAACUCUGUUAAUGAGCACUUUUUUACCUGUGUGGCAUAUCAAGAUGCUGAUUAGACGGCAUGAUAAUUGCACAGGUGUGCCUUAGGCUGGCCACAAUAAUAGGCUAAAAUGUGCAGUUUCACGGUAUUGGAGAGGCCCGGAGCUGUCUGGGGGAGGUCCGAAAACCAGUCAGUAUCUGAUGUGACCAUUUACCUCACACAGUGCAACACAUCUCCUUCACAUAGAGUUGAUCAGGUUGUAGAUUGUGGCCUGUGGAAUGUUGGUCCCCUCCUCUUCAAUGGCUGUGCAAAGUUGCUGGAUAUUGGCAGGACCUGGAACACGCUGUCGUAUACGCCGAUUCAGAGUAGGAUAUUGAUUAUUUUUUUAGAGCCAAUACCGAUAAUCUGUGAACUUUCAGGCCGAUAGCCGAUAUUCU